GACGAACGCUGGCGGCGUGCUUAACACAUGCAAGUCGAACGGAAAGGCCCUGCUUUUGUGGGGUGCUCGAGUGGCGAACGGGUGAGUAACACGUGAGUAACCUGCCCUUGACUUUGGGAUAACUUCAGGAAACUGGGGCUAAUACCGGAUAGGAGCUCCUGCUGCAUGGUGGGGGUUGGAAAGUUUCGGCGGUUGGGGAUGGACUCGCGGCUUAUCAGCUUGUUGGUGGGGUAGUGGCUUACCAAGGCUUUGACGGGUAGCCGGCCUGAGAGGGUGACCGGCCACAUUGGGACUGGGAUACGGCCCAGACUCCUACGGGAGGCAGCAGUGGGGAAUAUUGCACAAUGGGCGGAAGCCUGAUGCAGCAACGCCGCGUGCGGGAUGACGGCCUUCGGGUUGGAAACCGCUUUCGCCUGUGACGAAGCGUGAGUGACGGUAAUGGGUAAAGAAGCACCGGCUAACUACGUGC
rnacentral:rRNA from 1 species